GUAGUGUGAUCUCUGGCGGUAGAGCACUGUUAUUUUACCUGCCAAAUCAGAGCAUGGUCAUGCGCUGGCUGGGGCCGAGAGUCCCAGGGGGAUGGCCAGGAGGGGCCUGGGGCACCAGCUGCCCACGUGGAGUCUGAAAUGAUUCCCCCAUGCCUCGCCAUCCAUCCAGGAAACAUGGACCGAGUGACGGGUCUCAGUCUCGGCACUGUGCGUACAGCAGAGGAAGGAUCACACACGAAAACAAACCCUGCCCUCAUGCCACUUACUGUCUUGUGGGGGGAAGAAAUGAAACGAGUAAAAUGUAAGUGCUGGCGAGAACAUCGAGGCGGGAUGCGGCUCCUGAGUGUGGGGGGAGCAGGCGCAAAGCUAAAGAGGUCAGGGACAACCUCGUGGAGAAGGUGAUCCUUCUGUGAGGCUCUCUCUGCAGGAGGUAGAGGAGGAAGCCAUGCGGCUCUGGGAAGUUGUGUCGGAAAGGAAUGCCAGGCAGAGAAACCAGGAAGGCCAAGGACCGCCACUUGUGAGCAGCAGCCAAGAAGUCACGGCAAAAACAGUAGAGCGGGGGAAGCGUUAAGUCCUGACUUACGGACACCAGAACUCCUCCCCUGCUCUGCUGAGAAUAAACCACCAUGCUGCAGGGUGGCAGAGUUAUCUUUUCCCUGGGUUUGCUCUGCCUGUACGAUGAAAUACGUGAGAUUCUGUAAUGGAUGGAAUGUGUCCUCCCAGAACUGGUAUGUUGACGCCCUGACCCCCCCAGUGUGAUAAGGGUUGGAUGAGGUCAUGAGGUGGGGCCCUCCUGAUGGGGCUAGUGUCCUACUAAGAAGAGACCAGAGAGAGAGCUUGGUCUUUCUCUCUGACAGGUGAAGACACAGCAAGAAGGUGGCCUUCUACAAGCCAGGAAGAGAGCCCUCGCCAGGCAUCCAAUUGGUCAGCACCUUGAUCAAAGACUUCCCAGCCUCCAGAACUGUGACAAAUAAAGUUCUGCUGUUUAAGACUCCCAGGCUGCGGUGUUUUAUUAUGCAGCCCAAGCCAACUGAUACAGAUUCCAGCUAAGCUCCAACCCAGAACCUCUGAGGCUCAGGAAGAGGCACAGGAAGGAGAGGGAAAAGCCAAAACCUGGGGGGAUAAUGCUCAAUCCAGUGAAGCGGUCACUUGGCAAAUUUGCCUUUUGGGAAAUUGAUUUGGGGCAUGUGGUGACCUGUUUCCAGAAGGACGUGUGUCCAGGAUUCAGAAUUGUCAUUUCCUAGCUGUGUGAUCUUGGAUAAGUAUUUAAAAAAAAAAAAAAAAAAACAAAAUUGCCCCUUCCCUCAGUUUACCCACUUACCUGAAAAAGAGAGCUACAGUAAACUUUCUUCACCUCAGACAUGACGGGAGGAUGAAACAAUCAAACACAAGUGCCUGCUCUCAGCUCAGAAACACUGGCUAUCGUUAUUCUGUCUGUUGUGUUGAGGAUAAAGAGAUAACAAAUAUGAGAACACGUUGAAAAAAUACUAUACACGCCCAAAGCGUUAUUAAAAUUAAUAUUAAGCAAAACUGUUCUGAGUGUCGAUGGUGAAAUCCGGACUCCCUGCAGCUAUUGGCUGUCUCUGUCAUAACCACUUGCCAGCAUUCUCUGGGGGUAGAUCCUGGAGCCACAAACACCACGGUCACAAGCCACGCCAAAGGGAAAAGCGAAGAGUCCGUCUGGUUUGUGAACUCGAAGCUCCAAACUCCGGUUCCUUGUCACACAGUUGCACGGCUGGUUGUCUGUGCCAUUUUGGCUAGGAGUUAGGUCCCUCUGCCUGGGCAGACUCUGGUGACAGUCGUCACGGCCUUUGGAACACCCUACCUAGCAGCCAAUCUGGUUUUAGACAGUUUAAACAGUAUGAGGCCAAGUUGAGAUGCAGAGUGGAUGUGAGGGAAAUCUCCCCUUGGAUGCCAACUGCAAGUUGGCAAGUGUGAGUUACGUGUUAAAAUCAGAAACAUCCACAAGAAUGAUUUGCCCCAGGCCCUUGGCUUGGGGCUCCGGCAAGAAAAGCCGUAAGUCUGUGCAUAGGUCUAGACUGUAAGGCACGCAAGGGCAGGAAUAUCUAUGUAUUUUACGCACUGCAUGAUCCUGGUACCUCGCCCGGAGGGAGUUCGAUCAAUACUGGCCGGAUGAAUGCACCUCACAGGAUCCGACUGUGGCCAAGCCUGCUCUGUCCCGCCCGCAGAGCUCAGCCCUGUCUCUUCACUUCCCUAACCUCACAUGGCCUUUCUGAGUUCCCCUUCCUCUGAGGUCCUCCCUCAGAAAAGCGCACUUGUUGAAAUCCUGCUUUAGGUAACAAUCACACGUGUCCUGUCUUCU